rnacentral:rRNA from 1 species
UAAGGAAUAUUGGUCAAUGGACGCAAGUCUGAACCAGCCAUGCCGCGUGAAGGAUUAAGGCCCUCUGGGUUGUAAACUUCUUUUAUAGGGGAAGAAAUGUGACGGUUCUCCGUCACUUGACGGUACCCUGGGAAUAAGCACCGGCUAACUCCGUGCCAGCAGCCGCGGUAAUACGGAGGGUGCAAGCGUUAUCCGGAUUCACUGGGUUUAAAGGGUGCGUAGGUGGGCAGAUAAGUCAGUGGUGAAAUCCUGUCGCUUAACGAUAGAACUGCCAUUGAUACUGUAAGUCUUGAGUAUAUUUGAGGUAGCUGGAAUAAGUAGUGUAGCGGUGAAAUGCAUAGAUAUUACUUAGAACACCAAUUGCGAAGGCAGGUUACCAAGAUAUAACUGACGCUGAGGGACGAAAGCGUGGGGAGCGAACA